rnacentral:pre_miRNA from 1 species
AUGUAGAGCAAUCUGUCUUUAAGUAGAGGUAAAUGAUUCUUAAAAAAUGAAUCCUAGAUAGCUUACUCCUCAAGUGAAGUAUCUCGU